GCCUGGGUGGCUCAACUGGUUGAGCAUCUGACUCUUGAUUUCAGAUCAGGUCAUGAACCCAGGGUUGUGGGAUCGAGCCCUACACUGGGCU
rfam:Felis catus isolate Cinnamon breed Abyssinian chromosome B1, whole genome shotgun sequence.